rnacentral:lncRNA from 1 species
AUUCCACAUAGAAACCCAACUACACAGAUUUGACAUGGAAAUGAGUUUCCAAGCUUUAAUGCUUUCUCUGAAACCAAUCUUUCUAAUGACUUCAUUGCUCACAAGUCACAACUCUAGAUUUUCUCUAUUUUUGCUCACUAAAAGAACCAAAAGAAACACUUUACCAAACCUAUCAACCAAAACUCACAUGAUAUUUCUCUACACUUUUUGUUUCUUUUCUAAGAUAAAUUUUUAUAAAGAUGCGUCGAUCGAAAUACAUUUGUUUCCUUCAUCAGUGGUCCAUUUUUUCAGUAAGCUGCAACAAAAAAAAAAUAAGAAAGAAAAAUUUAAUUAGAAUUCUCAAUAUAGCCAAGAUCAAACCAAACGUAAUUAAGAAAAAAGAAAUCUGAUGAACCUUUAUUAUAUUUAUUUGAUUUUUUUUUUGCAGCUGAAUAAGCACAAAAUGAAUAGAAGAGAAGAGAAGAGAAGAAGAGGGAGGAGAAACCCAUGAAACGGAUUUGUCACAUAAUUAUGGAGAUAAUAAAGGAGAGAAGAGCAUAACCGUUGAUAGUAUCUAAACCUUAUUUGUUUUUUUCAAAAAACAUUUUGUAUUGUAUAAAAUCUUUUUUUUGUUUAAUCAAAGAAUUAUGGAUUUCGAUGUUAAUAUGACACUUGGAUAAAAAAGAAAAAAGAGAACAAAAAGCUUUUUAUACCAGCUGGUCUGAAAAUGAGGCAGAGAAUCAUAAGACAAAGUCACUUGGUUCAAGCCAAGAAUCCACUUAGAGAGAUUUAUCAAUCUAUCGACAUUUGUUUUUAGAUUCUUUUAGGACAAAGAAG